rnacentral:rRNA from 1 species
GACAGAGGGUGCAAACGUUGUUCGGAAUUACUGGGCGUAAAGCGCGUGUAGGCUGCUCGGAAAGUCGGAUGUGAAAGCCCUGGGCUCAACCUAGGAAGUGCAUUCGAAACUUCCGAGCUGGAGUGCUGGAGAGGAAGGCGGAAUUCUCGGUGUAGAGGUGAAAUUCGUAGAUAUCGAGAGGAACACCGGUGGCGAAGGGCGGCCCUUCCUGGACAGCGACUGACGCUGAGACGCGAAAGCGUGGGGAGCAAACAGG